GGCCGUGUGGUCUAGUGGUCAGGACGUUAGCCGCGUAAGCUGAAGACGCGGGUUCGAUUUCGAUUCCCGCCUCGGCCA